CAAUAGCGUAUAUUUAAGUUGUUGCAGUUAAAAAGCUCGUAGUUGGAUUUCGGAUGGGCUUGACCGGUCCGCCGUUUGGUGUGCACUGGUCGUGCCUAUCUUGCUGCCGGGGACGCGCUCCUGGCCUUAAUUGACUGGGACGCGGAGUCGGCGAUGUUACUUUGAAAAAAUUAGAGUGUUCAAAGCAGGCCUAAGCUCUGAAUACAUUAGCAUGGAAUAACGCUAUAGGACUCUGGUCUUAUUGCGUUGGUCUUCGAGACCGGAGUAAUGAUUAAGAGGGACAGUUGGGGGCAUUCGUAUUUCAUUGUCAGAGGUGAAAUUCUUGGAUUUAUGAAAGACGAACUUCUGCGAAAGCAUUUGCCAAGGAUGUUUUCAUUAA
rnacentral:rRNA from 1 species